GUGGGGAAUAUUGCACAAUGGGCGCAAGCCUGAUGCAGCAACGCCGCGUGAGGGAUGACGGCCUUCGGGUUGUAAACCUCUUUUAGUAGGGAAGAAGCGUAAGUGACGGUACCUGCAGAAAAAGCACCGGCUAACUACGUGCCAGCAGCCGCGGUAAUACGUAGGGUGCAAGCGUUGUCCGGAAUUAUUGGGCGUAAAGAGCUCGUAGGCGGCUUGUCGCGUCUGCCGUGAAAACCCAGGGCUCAACUCUGGGCGUGCGGUGGGUACGGGCAGGCUAGAGUGCGGUAGGGGAGAUUGGAAUUCCUGGUGUAGCGGUGGAAUGCGCAGAUAUCAGGAGGAACACCGAUGGCGAAGGCAGAUCUCUGGGCCGUAACUGACGCUGAGGAGCGAAAGCAUGGGGAGCGAACAGGAUUAGAUACCCCUGUAGUCC
rnacentral:rRNA from 1 species